rfam:Ascoidea rubescens DSM 1968 unplaced genomic scaffold ASCRTscaffold_7, whole genome shotgun sequence.
GGGCGUGUAGCGCAGUUGGUAGCGCGUCUGCUUAGCGUGCAGAAGGUCUUGGGUUCAAUUCCCAACUCGUCCA